UGUCUUAUUAGUGAAGUAGUAUCACACCAUCUUUUCGAGGUGGAGUUGUACCUAGGGGUUCAUAAGAUAA
rnacentral:tRNA from 1 species